UACGUAGGUGGCUAGCGUUGUCCGGAUUUACUGGGCGUAAAGGGCGUGCAGGCGGUUUGUUAAGUGCAGAGUGAAAGCUCCCGGCUCAACUGGGAGAGGUCUUUGCAUACUGGCAAACUCGAGGGAGGCAGAGGAAAGUGGAAUUCCCGGUGUAGUGGUGAUAUGCGUAGAUAUCGGGAGGAACACCUGUGGCGAAGGCGGCUUUCUGGGCCUUACCUGACGCUGAGACGCGAAAGCGUGGGGAGCGAACCGG
rnacentral:rRNA from 1 species